rnacentral:rRNA from 1 species
GACGAACGCUGGCGGCGUGCUUAACACAUGCAAGUCGAACGGUGAAGCCGGAGCUUGCUCUGGUGAAUUAGUGGCGAACGGGUGAGUAACACGUGAGUAACCUGCCCUUGACUCUGGGAUAACUGCGGGAAACUGUAGCUAAUACCGGAUACGACCCUCGGAGGCAUCUCCUGGGGGUGGGAAGAAUUUCGGUCGAGGAUGGACUCGCGGCCUAUCAGCUAGUUGGUGAGGUAAAGGCUCACCAAGGCGACGACGGGUAGCCGGCCUGAGAGGGUGACCGGCCACACUGGGACUGAGACACGGCCCAGACUCCUACGGGAGGCAGCAGUGGGGAAUAUUGCACAAUGGGCGCAAGCCUGAUGCAGCAACGCCGCGUGAGGGAUGACGGCCUUCGGGUUGUAAACCUCUUUUAGCAGGGAAGAAGCGAAAGUGACGGUACCUGCAGAAAAAGCACCGGCUAACUACGUGCCAGCCGCCGCAGUAA